rnacentral:tRNA from 1 species
GGUAAGAUGGCUGAGCGUGUAAGCGGUGGGUUGUAGCCCCAUGUAGAUAGGUUUAACCCCUAUUCUUAUCA